AAUUAUUAUUAUUAUUACUAUUAUUAUUAUUAUUAUUAUUAUUAUUAUUAUAAUUAUUAUUAUUAUUAAUAUUAUUAAUAUUAUUAAUAUUGCCGUUAUUAUUACGCGAAUAUAACCGCACGCCCGUCUGCCCGUAAUCAUCGUCGUACGCAUUCUCCGGCGAACGAAACCGGGUCCGCUCGUUCCGUGUGACACUAUUGCCGUCGCGAAAUAAUAUUUUCAUCGCAUUAUUAAUUUUAACACGGUCGCGUUUUCGUUUUUCUCGCGUUCUGUCCGCGUCACCGUCUGAUGGCCAUGCCCGUCUGGACAGCCGCCACCGUCAUCUGGACGAUCGACGCUCGACGUCC